UACAGAGGGUGCGAGCGUUAAUCGGAAUUACUGGGCGUAAAGCGCGCGUAGGCGGCUUUGCAAGUCGGGUGUGAAAUCCCCAGGCUUAACCUGGGAACUGCAUUCGAGACUGCAUUGCUAGAGUACGGUAGAGGGGGAUGGAAUUCCGCGUGUAGCAGUGAAAUGCGUAGAUAUGCGGAGGAACACCGAUGGCGAAGGCAAUCCCCUGGACCUGUACUGACGCUCAGGCACGAAAGCGUGGGGAGCAAACAGG
rnacentral:rRNA from 1 species